AAUUGCCUGGAAGGCUGCUGGAAAAGGUGUAGUGGCAACUGGUCCUGAACCACUGAGCGUGGAGUUUCUCAAUUGUCCUGCAGGGGGAUGGGUGAUGUGAAGAGAUCCACUCGUGACUCCCGGCGCAUCCGCAGGUCUCCCGGAGAUGUUCCAGGAACCUCCUUUAGCCACUGGUCCGGCACCAGGGACUCUGCUAAUGGCCCCUCCCAGGAAAGUGACUCAGAAGAACGUGUAGAAGCCAAGAAGCAGCUGGGAAGGUGUGUGGGGAAGGUGAGCAUCGCACACAGGUCUGGCACUGAUCUCCUCAGCCUCCUUCUCUGCUCCUUCCUCCCUGGAGCAGACUGCCAGGGAACACCCCUGGACAGUG